AACGCGAAGAACCUUACCCAGGCUCGAAAUGUAGGGGACGACACCAGAGAUGGUGUUUUCCGCAAGGACUCCUAUAUAGGUGCUGCAUGGCUGUCGUCAGCUCGUGCCGUGAGGUGUUGGGUUAAGUCCCGCAACGAGCGCAACCCUUAUCAUUAGUUGCCAACACGCAAGGUGGGAACUCUAAUGAGACUGCCUAGGUUAACUAGGAGGAAGGUGAGGAUGACGUCAAGUCCGCAUGGCCUUUAUGUCUGGGGCUACACACGUGCUACAAUGGUCGGCACAGAAGGCUGCAAAGCCGCAAGGUAGAGCAAAUCCGUAAAGCCGAUCUCAGUUCAGAUUGUAGUCUGCAACUCGACUACAUGAAGUUGGAAUUGCUAGUAAUGACGAGUCAGCAACAUCGUCGUGAAUACGUUCCCGGGCCUUGUACACACCGCGAGC
rnacentral:rRNA from 1 species